CAGGACUGCUUGCUUCUGCUGAUCUUAAGUUUCCUGGCAAGGUGUUCAGCAUGAAUAGUUACUUGGAAGCCAAAUUACAACCUAAAAGGAUAAUUAGCAUAUUUGACUCUACUGAAAUGUCAUAGUUUUAAUAUUGGCUCGUAGUGGAUUUAUGCUGCUUGAGUAGCCUUGGUUGGAGUUCUCUGUUUUUGGGGGGUUCCCUCUGGUAGUACUUAAACUUUGUGAAGAGCUUUCUGAAAGGAUCCGGGGUAUGGCCUCUCUACCUGUUGGAUACUAUGGAGAAUCUCCUUAUAUGCCACGUUGCACUGCUAAGCAACCCCCACUCUGUGCCUCUGAUCAGAGGAGCCCUGCUGUGACAAGCCAUUCAGGAACAAAAUAACGUAAUGGGUUGUGCAGGUUUUCAUCUAGAACGGGCUUCAGGUAUUUAAAAAUAUUUAAAAUGUUUUAAAGAAAAUGCUGGAAAAUUCAUAUAGAAAUUGCCAUGCGGCAAUCAGUUCAUGCCAGUUAUGUUAGUAAAAUGAAAUGCAGCAAGCUUUUGAGUUUGAUUUUUGUUUCAGUCUGUCUAGAGAACAUGGUGUCAAGUGCCCAUUUUUCUUUUAAGAAUAGCCUUAAAGACUUGAUUACUCUUUGAUCCUAGUAUUGUCUUGAAGGUAGUUCAAAGUUAUAAGGAGUUAUGUAUGCUGUAUCUUAAUGAAAUGCUUGUCUGAAAUUGUACUGAUAGCCUGCUGUGAAAAAAUCAAUUUGCCAUCAGCAAACUGAAUGUACUUGAUGCUCAAUUUAGUUCACCCAAGUAUUUCAUGUUCUUUCCCUAUGGUAAAACAAAAGGGUCCUGAGAAUUAAUUACAGCACUAGCAUCUGCUCGUGGCAGCUUUGCUGAUAGACUUCGUAGAAGAAGAUAGUUAAAGAGUGAGGGAGAUGGAGUGUGAAGUUUUUACCAGUACCAUUUCUUAUGCAAAUACAUUUAAAUAACAGACCUCUUUUCCUGUACAUAUUUUUCUUUUUGCUGUGGACAACUCACUUGCAUAUAAAACCAGAAGAUAUCAAUUGCUUCAAACUAAUUUGUGUUAUGCCAGGUUGUUUUUUUUUUGUGGAACAUAUUUCUAUACAAUUUUUGGCUGUGCAACGGAGUACUUGUUAUCUCAAUGCUGGUAAUAAUAGUUUUUCCUUUAAAAUAAAUUUCCAACUUUUUGGAGGGUCAAUAGAUGAAUGAGAAGUUUGCUGAAAUUACAGGUUCCUGAGAUUCCUGACUCUGAAUACGGUAGUAGAGUAAUUCCAGCCUGCUGUGUCAAGUACACUGUGGAACAACCUUGAAUGCUGGACAAGCAUAUUUUUAUGCUGUGCCAAAUCUCCAUUGGCAGUUUUGUCUUUUUUAGCAUUAAAAUGUUAGUUCAUGAACG
rnacentral:lncRNA from 7 species